UGCACAAAGUGUAUUUACUGUGUAUGCACACUAAUAUAUAUAUAUAGUGUGUAUACACAGUAAAUACACUUUAUGUGCAUUAUAUAA